GCGGGUCUAGUUUCCAUUUCCCGGACAGCUCCGCGCCCCUCCGCAGGAGGCCAUUUCUUCCUUCCUUCAUUCUCAGGACAUUUCUUCAACAUCUUCAAUCUCAUUUAAUCCUUGCCUUAGCCUCAGAGGAGGAAAUGAUUCUCUACUCACACAGCGGUUUCUGGCCAGUGAGGUAUCGUAGUUCAGUGGUUAAGAGGCUUUGGGCUCAGAUAGGUGUGGGCUGGAAUUCUGUCUUUGCUGCUUCCUGGGCAAGUUAUUCAACUUAUGAAAACUUCAAAUUUCCUCAUUCAUUAAAUGGAGAUACUACUUACUUCAUAGAAUUCUUGUGAAGCACACUGUGAGUGCUGAAUAGAUGGUAGGAAAAGCUACUGAAGGCAAAUAUUGGGCGAAGAUCCAGGCAUGGGAUUUGGCUACUGUCCAAAAUAAGAUGUGGGUAAUGACAACCAUAACUGUUUAAAGGUGAGAAAUACUGAUGUGCCAAGUUACCUUUUGAUUUCCUGUUCCGUCCUGGCUUAAUAGUACAGUAGCUUGUGCUCAGAUUUUGGGCUUGAGGACAGGGCUGCAAGAGACAUGUAAUCCACGUGGUACUCAACUGUGUAUGAAACAGAGCUCAACAUGAGAGCUUAAUACUAGCUUGGAUGAAGGAGAGCUUGAGUGAGGGAGGGAGGGAAUAUUAUGGGCGGCGGGAUGCAGGGAGA